GGGCCCGCACAAGCGGUGGAGCAUGUGGUUUAAUUCGAAGCAACGCGCAGAACCUUACCAAGGCUUAAAUGUAGAGGGACAGGCGGCGAAAGUUGCCCUUCUUCGGACUCUCUACAAGGUGCUGCAUGGUUGUCGUCAGCUCGUGCCGUGAGGUGUCGGGUUAAGUCCCAUAACGAGCGCAACCCCUAUCUUUAGUUGCCAGCGGUUCGGCCGGGGACUCUAAAGAAACUGCCCGCGCAAGCGGUGAGGAAGGUGGGGAUGACGUCAAAUCAUCACGGCCCUUACGUCUUGGGCUACACACGUGCUACAAUGGUAGUGACAAUGGGCAGCCACUCCGCGAGGAGGCGCAAA
rnacentral:rRNA from 1 species